rnacentral:SRP_RNA from 1 species
GCCUGGUGUAGCAGUGCACACCUAUAGUCCUAGCUACUUGGGAGGCUGAGAUGGGAGGAUCACUUGAGCCCAGGAGUCCUGGGCUAUAGUGUUGUUCUAUGCUGAUGGGGUAUCCGCACUAAGUUCAGUAUCAAUAGGGUGACCUCAUGGGAGCAGGAAACGAAUAAUUGGUUGCCUAAGGAGAAGUGAACUAGCCCAGGUAAAAACAAAGAAGGUAAAAACUCCAGAGCUGGUCAGUAGUAGAAUCAUGCCUGUGAAUAGUCACUGUAUUCCAGUCUGCUCAACAUAGCAAGACCCUGUAUCU